AUUGAACGCUGGCGGCAGGCCUAACACAUGCAAGUCGAGCGAGCGGCGGACGGGUGAGGCAUGUAUGGGGAUCUGCCCGAUAGAGGGGGAUAACUACUGGAAACGGUGGCUAAUAACGCAUACUAUAGGAUGAACCCAGAUGGGAUUAGCUAGUAGGUGGGGGAAAGGCUCACCUAGGCGACGAUCUCUAGCUGGUCGGAGAGGAUGAUCAGCCAAACUGGAACGGAGACACGGACCAGACUCCGACGGGAGGCAGCAGUGGGGAAUAUUGGACAAUGGGCGAAAGCCUGAUGCAGCCAUGCCGUGUGUAUGAAGAAGGCCUUAGGGUUGUAAAGUACUUUCAGCGGGGAGGCGUUACCCGCAGAAGAAGCACCGGCUAACUCCGUGCCAGCAGCCGCGGUAAUUC
rnacentral:rRNA from 1 species